rnacentral:lncRNA from 1 species
CAUGUCUGAUGCAUGUGCCAUGUGUGGUGUCCAUGGUGUGUGUGGUGUGUUUGCAUGUAUGCUGCACCUGUUGUAUGAUGUCUGCAUGAGUGUGUGGCACGUGUGUUGUUCUCCAUCAGAGCACCCCCUUCCUCAGAGAUUGGGGCAUUUACACCCCUAGAAUAGACCCCCCAUCCCACCCUUCUCCCCCAGAUCUCUCGGACCCCUGGACUGAGCUAUGGGGAGCCUGCCUGCAGCUCCCUCCCCACCCUCCACUGGACCAGCCCCUCCCCAGAACCUAGAGCCUGUUCCCCUGCCUGGGAUCAGGUCUUGGGGCCUGGAGGGUCAACACAGAGGCCCUCAGCAGGAGGCCAGGCCAAGGUGUCAGAAACCACCCCCACCUGGACGGAGGAGAAAUCCCGCUCCUACAGAGAGCAGGGGCUGAGUGAGAGAGGGGAGUGGCAGGACAGUGUGAAGGGAGGGCAAAUAUCCCUGCCCGUGUGUGGGUGCUCCUGGAGGCCUCUGCCCAUGAACAUGCAUACACAACACACCACACACACACAACACACUUACAAACCACUCACACAAACCACACAACACAAAGCCUGAGGUGAGCACAGUCUUCCCAAGACACCCAGCAUGGCCCCAGGAAGAUUGAUGGUUUGACAAGGGCAAGUGAGGGGGGAGGAAAUGCCUGUUUAGACAGAUGAAUGGAUGGGUGACAGAUGAUGGGUAGAUAAUGGACGGGUGAAUGGAUAAUGGAUGGGUGGAUGGAUG